CACAACGUAGUUUCCCGUUACGAAAAAGAUUCUCAACGAAUAAAUAAAUGUUUGCGAAAUUAUACCUAGUUCUUUCGAUCAUUCCAAGUAUCUCUCUUUCUCUCUCUCAUUUUUACCGUGUUGGAAGUUAUACGAGAUCGUAUCUAGAACUGGAACGAUUUUAUUUGCCAUGCGUAAACUCUCCCACGUAUCUUUCUCUUUUAACGAUUCAUGAUUCAAUCGUUUGAUACCUACUUGAAGAAUUGCUCGUGGAAAAAAAAGAGACGCGAACGAACAACAAAAAGCAGUAAUUUCCUCGUUACGUAAGUGUUCUCCUUAGAAAACGUAUAUUCCGAAGAAUUCAAGAUAUAUAUUUGUGUGCAUGUAUGUGAUCACGUACGACGUAUAAGAGAUGUAAAAUAUCGUUUUGAACGGAAAAGAUGUGCCAAUCGAUCGAGAGGAUUAACUUCUUAGACGUAUACCGGUAUUGGCUUUUCCGUUCGCUUCGUAAAGGGAUCAAGGCCAAGAAGCAGAAACCGUAGAGUCGAUUCCAAUGACUCUGAAUGCCGGUGAGACGCGACGGUGCUACGGUACAUAUUUCCUUCUUCGUUUCGAUGAAAAGAGAAAGAAAGAAAGAAAGGAUAAGGAAAGAAAAAUAAAGAAAGAAGAGAACGAGAGAGAGAAGGGGAAAAAGUAAAAAAAUGUUAAAAAGAUAAAAAAAGCAGAGCACUUCGGUAGAACGAUAUCCAUAGAAGCGAGGCGAGGCAAGGCAAGGCACAGAAGCAAAGCAAGCGGGCACACGCGCGAGCACGUGUGCGUGAAUGCACAGGGAAUUUUUUUUGUGCCAGCCAGGCAGCAGCAGCAGCAGCUAGCACCAAGCAGCAGCAGCACCAAGCAGCACCACCAGCAGCAGCAGCAGCAGCAGCAGCAGCAGCGGAGAGUAAUCGUGCCUCGAGACUCGACCGCUCGCUCCGUUCGCCUCGGUCAUGGGUGGAGGUAUGGUAGGGGGAGAGCUGCAUCGCUGUUCGGGGUCGGAGCGAACGAACGAGAGCGAGCGAGGGACAGAGAGAGAAUGAGAGAAAAGCCGGCGGCGCGGUAUAAAGUAGGGUGGGGAGCAGCCGCGUGGUGGGGAGAAGAACGGGUCGUUUGGGUGUCGGCGGUGGUAGAGUAUCAGUGGUGGGGGAAGUCUGGCUCGAGCAACGACGCGCCGUUCGUGGUGGGGGGCGAGUUCUCCCGACUGCCGCAGUAGAGUAGCGGCCUUCGACGCGAUCUGAUCUUGGUUCUCUUCGAGAAAGUGUGCGCUCGCGCACACGCACACACGCUAUACAUAUACAUACAUACAAACAUAUAUAUAUAUAUAUAUGUACUUUAACGUCCUACUCUCCCCUAAAUACGGUGCUGCGCCGAGAACUUAACGCACUGCGCAGGCCACUUUUCUUCUCUCUCUCUAACCGUUCUCAUCUCAUCUCAUCUCGCAUAAUGCCGGCCCUUUCUCUUUGUAUACUCCUUCGACACAGCUGAAACGCGAAUUUUCUUUCUCGAACGAGCGAAGACGGACAGAGCAAAGAAGAUAGAGAUAGAUAUAUAUAUAUAUAUAUAUAUAUAGAGAGAGAGAGUCUGC